CGUGCACGUGUUAGUAAUAAAUAUGCUCUUCCUCCAUCUUGUUUCGUUGUUUCUGAACUCUAUUGGGGAGGUUGGGAAAGAGCGCUCCGGGCCGCAUUGAGCCCGCCUGAGCCUGUGAGAGCGAUCCGAGGCGCUGAGGUGGCGCCACAAUGACUCCCUUUUAAAAUCGAAACAAGGUUGGAGUGGAGCGGGGGAUUGAACGUUCCAACGUCUCUGGUCAACAGUGGCACAAUCGUGAGUUUCAGAGGUUACCCCCGGAUGUGGAGAUCCAUCAAUACCAACCUGGUGAUUGGGUACGAGUUCGGAAGUGGAAGCAAGAGCCCUUGCAGCCCACGUGGGGACCGCCGGAGCAGAUCAUCUUAAUUACCGAAUCGGCAGUAAAGCUCGUAGGCCACAAGCGAUGGAUCCAUGCUAGCCGUAUAAAAAGAGCCAAGCCUGUAACUAUCCAGGAACCUGAGCAGGGAGUAGCCAAGGACUCCCCACCUGGAGGGGUGAAGGAUCAGACACCUGAAGAAAAGUGGCUAUCGCAAACUGUUCUGGGUUUGUGCCUGAAAUUGAAACUCACCAAAGAAACAAAGACUGAUAGUUAAUGGGAGGCUCACCACAAGUAGUCACGUUAAGAGCUACUCCUGUGGCCCUUGACCCCAUUCGACCAAGUAUUUUUGUUACAGUAACAUACCACCAGACGGGGUUAAAAAGGCAGGUUAAAGAGAAAAUAGUAAUAAGGACUAAUCUCUACUUCCGAGCUCCCACUUAUAUGAGAGAUUGGCCUACUGUGGAACUAAGAAGAAGUGGAUGGGUGGAACGCUGGUGCCCAGUGAAUAGUGUAAAAUAAUAUAUGGGAGGAUCGGUACCUCCCUGUCCCCUGCAGACAAUAAUUGCUCCGGUCCCUGGGGAUAUUGGACCAACAAUCUCAGUAGUGGUGGUUCAGCUUCGACCCCACAGGGGAAGUUAUCGGGGGAGGGGAAAUACCGUCUUACACCCGGUGGUCCGAUGUCAACUGGUCUACCGGAGGCUACAUUCUAAUUAGAACCCAGUGGAUGGGAGACUCUCCUAUCCCUCAAAAUUUAUGACAAA